rnacentral:tRNA from 1 species
UCUGUUGUAGUCUAGUUUGUCAAGAUACUCGACUCUCACCCGAGAGACCUGGGAUCAAGUCCUGGCAACAUAA